rnacentral:misc_RNA from 1 species
UCCCUGUUAACCAGGGCAGUCUCUUAUGAAAUAUAUAACAUAAGACGAGGGUUGCGCUCGUUUACGGACCUAACCGAACACCUCAAGGCACGAGCUGACGACAACCAUGCAGCGCCUGUCACUGAGCUCCUUGCGGCACUCCACUGUUUCCAGCGGAUUCUCAGGAUGUCAAGCCUUGGUAAGGUUCCCCGUUUUAUGUCGAAUUAAACAACAUGCUCCACCGCUUGUGUGGGUCCCCGUCUAUUCCUUUGAGUUUUAAUCUUGCGACCGUACUCCCCAGGCGGAACACUUAACGCGUUAGCUAAGGCACUGGAGGGAUCGAUCCUCCAACACCGAGUGUUCAUCGUUUACGGCGUGGACUAC